rnacentral:rRNA from 1 species
UACGUAGGGCGCAAGCGUUGUCCGGAAUUAUUGGGCGUAAAGCGCGCGCAGGCGGCCCGUUUAGUCGGGUGGUUAAGCCCGGGGCUCAACCCCGGGUCACACCGGAAACGGACGGGCUGGAGUGCAGAAGAGGAGAGUGGAAUUCCACGUGUAGCGGUGAAAUGCGUAGAGAUGUGGAGGAACACCAGUGGCGAAGGCGACUCUCUGGACUGUAACUGACGCUGAGGCGCGAAAGCUAGGGGAGCGAACUGG